UACGGGGGGGGACUAACGUUAUUCAUCAUAACUGGGCGUAAAGGGUACGUAGGUGGCUUUGUAAGUCUCGAUUAAAGAAUCUAAGCAUAACUUAGAAAUUAUUCUUGAUACUGCUAAGCUCGAGGUCGAAAGAGGUUAGUUAUAUUCUUGAAGUAAAAAGUAAAAUCUUUAGAUAUUAAGAGGAUAACCAAGUGGUUAAUGCGACUUUCUGGUUCGACGCUGACGCUGAGGUACGAAGGCAUGGGUAUCAAACGGGG
rnacentral:rRNA from 1 species